rnacentral:rRNA from 1 species
AUAUCAGUCAUGCAUAGCAUAUCAAUAAGCGGAGGAAAAGAAACUAACAAGGAUUCCCUUAGUAACGGCGAGUGAAGCGGGAAGAGCUCAAAUUUGAAAUCUUCAAGGUUUUACCUUGACGAAUUGUAGUUUAAAGAAGUGUUUUCUGUUGAAGUUUUGGUAAAAGUUCUUUGGAAUAGGACAUCAUAGAGGGUGAGAAUCCCCGUAUUUGACCAUUACUUUCAGCUUUGUGAUACACUUUCAAAGAGUCGGAUUGUUUGGGAAUGCAGUCCAAAAUGGGUGGUAAAUUUCAUCUAAAGCUAAAUAUUGGCGAGAGACCGAUAGCGAACAAGUACCGUGAGGGAAGGAUGAAAAGAACUUUGAAAAGAGAGUUAAACAGUACGUGAAAUUGUCAAAAGGGAAGCGUUUGACACCAGUGUUGUUUUCUCGAGAAUCAAUUAAAAAGAGUUGGAUUUUGUGUUGUAUUGACUUUAUCGGCUUUCUUCACUCUUUUCCAGCUUUUUUUAAUGCACUUUUCGUUUAACAAGUCAACAUCAGUUUCUUUUGUUGUAAAAAGGUCAUUGGAAGGUGGCUUUCUCUUCGGAGAAAGUGUUUAUAGCCUUUGACUCAUGCAAUCGGAGAGGACUGAGGUCUGCAGCGUAGAUCCUUCGGGGUUAGAUACAUUUGCUGCUAAGUUAUAGCUUUUCAUAGACAACUUGUUGACUAUGUUUAGUCUUGUAGCUUACUCGCUUAUGCUAUUUUACCUACGCUUAGGAUGUUGAACUCUAUCACACACAG